rnacentral:rRNA from 1 species
AUUGAACGCUGGCGGCAGGCUUAACACAUGCAAGUCGAGCGGGGGAAGGUAGCUUGCUACCGGACCUAGCGGCGGACGGGUGAGUAAUGCUUAGGAAUCUGCCUAUUAGUGGGGGACAACAUCUCGAAAGGGAUGCUAAUACCGCAUACGUCCUACGGGAGAAAGCAGGGGAUCUUCGGACCUUGCGCAUAUAGAUGAUCCUAAGUCGGAUUAGCUAGUUGGUGGGGUAAAGGCCUACCAAGGCGACGAUCUGUAGCGGGUCUGAGAGGAUGAUCCGCCACACUGGGACUGAGACACGGCCCAGACUCCUACGGGAGGCAGCAGUGGGGAAUAUUGGACAAUGGGGGGAACCCUGAUCCAGCCAUGCCGCGUGUGUGAAGAAGGCCUUAUGGUUGUAAAGCACUUUAAGCGAGGAGGAGGCUACUUUAGUUAAUACCUAGAGAUAGUGGACGUUACUCGCAGAAUAAGCACCGGCUAACUCUGUGCCAGCCGCCGCAGUAA